UGGUUGGCUAUAAUGGACUAUUACAGUCAUAUUCCAUAUAAUCUUAUUGAAGGCGAAACUGCGUUUACCAUUCGGCACUCUACUUACGGAAUACCCAUUUAGCGUGUCUGAGUUUCAACCUUACCUUUCUCCCUCUUUUUCAUUCUCACGUCUGAAGCAUCUUCUUUUUUUCAUUCUUCUUCCCAUUUCCUUCCAACCCUCAACUCUAUCAACGAGCUUCGCCAUUUCUCUUUUUGUUAUAUUGGUCUUCAUUCUCUAAACUCCAAAACCGCCGUUAAAUUAUCCCAAUCUUCUAACUUCAAUGGACUAUUUCCUUGACGCCUCCGGCCUCUCAGGUUAGGAUUUCGAUCGAACUCGUCGAUCAUCGCUUUCAGCUCCAUCUCUGAGAUUGAUACCGAAACUUCUUCUACAGCAUCCGACAGAACUGUCUCCAUCAAUUCGGUUUAUGUUCCCAUGCCGGCUAAUCGAGACACUCGAACUCCUCAAGGCGGUUUUGAAAAAUUGAUCCUUUUGAAAGUUGGUCCUUCAAGAAGGAGAAAAGAUCGUCCUUGUAUGGUUGGAUACACCAUAUAACCAAGCCGUACAUGGACUCGUGGACAAACUAGGGAGCUUGGUGGUUAGGUUGGUGUUUACUCCUUUUGAAGAAAGUUCAUAUUCUACAUUUGCCAGGAAUUGCUUGGAAUUUCGGGGACUUGAAGUUAGGGGAAGAACCACGCUCAUCGAGCAAGAGAGCAAUCGAGUUUGGUACCAUUGUGUUGCUUCCACUCUUAUUUUUGUGCCUAUUAUCUUCAUUACUAAUGCGGUGGUAGCAAUCCGCAAUUUGGGACUGUCUCCUUACUGCUAUGUUUUUCAAAUUGUAUCAUAUCAUAUAUGAUAUUUGAAAUCUUCAUAUCUAAAUAUGUAAUAAUUGAAAUAAAUAAAUGUUAUAAUAA